UUAAUGAGUCUAAAGACAAAAGUCCUAAACUUUGAGUUUCGAGUCCUAAACAAGUCAUAAUGCGCUCUUCACCAAAUGUAAUGCCAUUUUUACAACAGAGUAACUGGCGCCAACUGGUGCUCCGUAAUUUAACAUUAGUUCUUCAUGGUUCUCUCCUGCAACUUGAUUGGAUGCUGUCGGAUUGG